UGUUGGAUUCUAAGGAGCAGCUGCACUAAGGCAAUAUCUAUAGUAGAUGCGGAGAGGUUAAUUAGCAAAAAUCACUAGAGUUUGUUCUUGUCAAUAAAAGCCAGUAGCCUAACAUUGAAGAUUUGAUGGUUAGAUUUUGCAUAUAUUCAAUAACCAGUAGAUUUUUUUUCAUCUAACAAUCAAAAUGAUUGUAUUGAAUUUCAGUAAAUUUUCCAUUUUGCAAGUGAUUUUUCAUUUCAAUUACCAUGGAAUGCAUCAUGCCAAUUUGUGCUUUAAGCUACCUGGCUUUGUGAAUUUGGAGGAAAGGGCUAUGAUUGAACUACUUGUUGGAGACAAGCUUGUUGUGGCCAUGCAAAUAUCAAUCUAGACAGAAACCAGAAGGCUGUGCUUCACUCUGUUCUUCUGUGUGGGGAGUGCUUAUGACUUAUUAGCUCUUUGGUUUUUGUUAUUUUCCUGGUUUGUGUAAGCUACCUUUGUUGUUAGGCAAUGAAAGGUGCUGAUUGCAUUUUCAAAAAACCCAUGGUCUAGGGUCAUGAGUCUGCUGGAAUUGUAGAUGACAUAGCAUUCAAGUUAAAUCUCUUAAGUAGGGACAGGGUGGCUCUUGAGCCUGGAUUCAGUUGUCAAAUAUUCAAUUUUUGCAAAGAUGGCUGCUAGAAUCUCUGUCACCUGAUGGAAUCUUUUGGUUUUGCUGCCUCUACAUUAAACUACAGUUAUCUUGCCAAUAAGUUACUUGCAUAAAGUUGGAUAGAUCUUGUAUUGCUGCAAAAGCUAUAGAGAUUGUCGAGACACAUCAAAGUACAAGUGGCCAGAAUAUUAUGAUAUGAAGAUUUCAUUGGAAAGCAAUAUUGACUAUGACUGUCAUUUACCUCGUGGUGAAGUUGAUGCUUUUUGCUGACCCGGGUAACGCAGACUUUUUGGUGGUAAAUCCAGCCAAUUCAUGCGUUAAGCUUCCCUACAAUAUGAACUUGGAGGAAGAAUCUAUUAUUCUACCACUGUGUUGGGCUACAUGAUUGAUACUGGGCCAAUAUCAGUGGGAGGCAAAUGUAUUGAUCAUGGGAGCUGGACCUAUAGGCCUUGGCCUUGCUCUAACACUUGUAGCCAUUGCAUUUGGAUCACCGAAAAUUGUCAUUGUUGGUGUUGGUAACAUCAUUUAUCAAUUGCAAUGGAUCUUGGUGAAGGACAUGAAGGAAGAAGUGGAGCAGAUCUGAAAUGCCAUGGUUUCUGGGAUUGAUGUUUGAUUGCUUGUUUUUGAUUUUGUGGACUACCCUAAAAACUGUUUCUACAGCCAUCAAACUUGAAUGCCACUAGCUCUAGUGGCAAAAAAAUUGCAUCAUUGGAAAUAGCUCAGACUGAGAAGACCAUUCUCCUGACUCCAACAACAAUGAGGUUACAAACGAGCCAAGAUGUUAGAUGGUUGGUUCAUUUAACACUUGGCUCCUUUGCAUUGAGCUUUUGUGCAUUGGUAAGAUUGACUUCAAGGCAUUGGCAUUGAUAACUCAGAUUAGAUUUACAUCGGAAAUAGUUGGAUGAAGUUCUUUGCUUCCAGUGCUCCAAGGGUAUUUUUGAAAUAAGCUAGGUUUUGAUAUGCUGAUCAAGUCAGAUUGAUCAUUGAUUAAUAAGCACAUGAAACAAAAUAAUAAACCAUAUAUCACAUUUCAUGGCAUACCAGUAGGCAGGGAUCAUGUUCAAUCUCCAAAGGCAGAGAUGGAAAACUUAGCCCUUUAGCAUGAGCCUAAAAUUUAUGUAUUCUUAGAUUAAUUCAUCAUUUUAAUUAUAUUUAAAAUAGAACUGUUGAUUCAAAAAAUUUAUGUAUUCUUAGAUUAAUUCAUCAUUUUAAUUAUAUUUAAAAUAGAACUGUUGAUUCAAAAAAGUGUAUACACAUACUGCAUACGAAUGUCUUCAAAGUUGGGCUUUCUCACAAAAUAGAACUGCCCUAUUUGUGUUUGUGACUUAGUUAUAGAAUUACUGAAGAGUA